UUAACCCACACCACAUUAUUCAUACACAACAGAAGUUCACUCAGUCUCAGUGCUUUCAUUCAACCAUCAGCUACUCUCAUAUUUUCAUUCAUUUUAUAAAAACACAUUCAGCAGAAUUUGGAGUUAAUAUAUCGUGGACUUCAGUUAAGAUGGAGGAGAGGCAGAUGAUACUUAUAAUGAUCAUCACAGUUUCAGGCGUUUUUGCUGAUAGAAUUGGACCAAGAGAAGGAGACACUAAUAUAAUCAGAGAAGAAGGAGAGUCUGUGACACUGAGCUGCACAUAUGAAACAUCCAGCAAUGAUAUUUGGCUCUACUGGUACAAACAAUAUCCAAACAGAGAACCAGAAUAUAUACUGUAUAAAGGCGCUCGAUCACAGAGCAGUGAUGAGAAUAUACCAGAUGGGUUUCAGUCAACUACAUCCCAGACAUCCACUGAACUUAUUAUUGUAAAAGCAGCUCUGUCAGAUUCUGCUCUUUAUUACUGUGCACUUGUAGUAGCCCAGUGAUGCAAAAUACCAGAGAAGCUUUACAAAAACUUACAUGAAAUUAAUGCUUUGAAGAGUCUUUAAUCAAUCCGUAUCAAAACACAUCAUGUUUUUCUAAACCACAAACAGUGAAUGUGGUAACAGCUGUGAAUUUGGGAGGUUAAAAUGGUUGCAUAAGGGCAUGUGAAUAUAAUAUAGCAUGAAUCACAUGGUUUCACAUUAUCACUUCUCAGUUAAAUCCUUGCAAAACAACAACAACAAAACACAAAAAAACUUAUUUACAUUCAUGAUUAUGAAUUUUGUUCUUCAGGUGUCACUUUUAUGAAUGUCAUUACUAGUCUUAACGAUAAAAAGGAAGGAAAUCAUAAAAGUUUAAUAAAACCAUUACAUCACACAUUACAUCAUUACAAC